rnacentral:snoRNA from 1 species
CCCAACAGUUGUCAGCUAUCCAGGCUGCAUGGUGCCUGUGAUUGUGUUACAGUGUUGGGAGAGUAAAGGCUGUCUUAAGGGUUGGCUCUGAGCACUGUUUUGGUGGUCAUGCUGACUACCUUCAGGCAGUGUUUGCAUCCCUGAGAGUGGAAGAACUCCUUGUGGAGUUGGUCCUGGUCUAGGUGCAAACAGU